rnacentral:lncRNA from 1 species
CUGAGACCAAGGCAAACUGGGGAUUUGACCCCAGGGAUGGGAUAAGUGACAGGAAGUGAGGCAGGGAAGGCAGGAGAGCAGUUCAAAGAUCUCGGCCAUGACCGCAGGUUGAACAUCCAUCAGAAGCGAGGUGGCUCUUGCCUGGGGCUUCGCAGAGAAGCCCAAGGGGGAAGAAAGAAGAUACGCAUGGGCCCUAGGCCAGCUACUUUCAGGCAGCACCUGCAGGAAGCUGGCCAGAUUGUGUAAGACUUGGAGCUGCAGUCAAGAUUCCAGUAACAGGUGAGGAUGGGAUCAUCUGAAGCAGUGGAAGAGGGAGACAAAAAAGUAAAAGACUCUUAAUCUCACAA